AACGAACGCUGGCGGCGUGCCUAAUACAUGCAAGUCGCACGAGAAAGUCCUUCGGGACGAGUAGAGUGGCGCACGGGAGAGUAAUGCAUAGGAACGUACCUUUCGGUGGGGAAUAACCACGGGAAACUGUGGCUAAUACCGCAUAAUGACGCGAGUCUAAAGAGGGCCUCUAUUUAUAAGCUCUCGCCGAUCGAGCGGCCUAUGUCCCAUUAGCUAGUUGGUGAGGUAAUGGCUCACCAAGGCGACGAUGGGUAGCUGGUCUGAGAGGAUGAUCAGC
rnacentral:rRNA from 1 species